AAAUCCCUGAGAAAGUGGAAAAAGGUCACCACACCCUCAUUAAUACCCUGGAGGUGGCAGCCAGGUGGGGGUUAAGUCAAUAGGCCAAAUAGAAAUCCACCAUGUCAGGAGGGCCUAUGGAACUGGGUGAGGCUCUCUGACGGUGCUCUUCUUUUUUUUCAAGUGAUAUGAAGGUGCUAAAGAAGGUGACAGAUCUACCCUUUUUCCUUGUACUUCAUUCAAUGGAAAUCUCUUGAGUAUCAUACAUGGACACAGCCAACAUUCCAAUGCUUGUUCCCAGGAAGCUAUCUUAAGAUGUGGCUUUUUGUUCACUAUCCUCCAUUCCUGUUGGUGAUGCAGCAAGCUUUCUGGGCCACUGUACCACUGCCUCCAGUGCCAAGGAGCAGAGCUGACCCCAGCAAUGAGGAGAAGGUGAGCUUUCUGGGCCUCCAUACCACUGCCCCCAGUGCCAAGGAGCAGAGCUGCCCCUAGCUCCAAGGAGGUGAGCCACAUGAGAGCCAGCAGCACAUCUCCCCCGAUUUGAAAUGAGAAGAGACACAAACAAAUCUCAAAUCCAGACUUCCAGAUCACCUAAAGCAACC
rnacentral:lncRNA from 1 species